rnacentral:rRNA from 3 species
CGGCGAGUGAAGCGGCAAUAGCUCAAAUUUGAAAGCUGGCCCCUUCGGGGUCCGCGUUGUAAUUUGUAGAGGAUGAUUCGGCGAGGGCUCCCGUCUAAGUCCCUUGGAACAGGGCGUCAUAGAGGGUGAGAAUCCCGUAUGUGAUGGGCUGCCUUAGCCAUGUGAAUCUCCUUCGACGAGUCGAGUUGUUUGGGAAUGCAGCUCUAAAUGGGAGGUAAAUUUCUUCUAAAGCUAAAUACCGGCCAGAGACCGAUAGCGCACAAGUAGAGUGAUCGAAAGAUGAAAAGCACUUUGGAAAGAGAGUUAAAAAGUACGUGAAAUUGUUGAAAGGGAAGCGCUUGCAGCCAGACUUGUCCGCAGUUGCUCAGCUUGUCUCCUGACAGGCGUACUCUUCUGCGGCCAGGCCAGCAUCAGUUCGGGCGGUCGGAUAAAGACCUGGGGAAUGUAGCUCCUCUCGGGGAGUGUUAUAGCCCUGGGUGCAAUGCGGCCAGCCUGGACUGAGGAUCUCGCUUCGGCUAGGAUGCUGGCGUAAUGGCUGUAAGCGGCCCGUCUUGAAACACGGACCAAGGAGUCUAACAUCUAUGCGAGUGUUUGGGUGUCAAACCCAUGCGCGUAAUGAAAGUGAACGGAGGUGGGAACCCUCACGGGUGCACCAUCGACCGAUCCUGAUGUCUUCGGAUGGAUUUGAGUAAGAGCAUAGCUGUUGGGACCCGAAAGAUGGUGAACUAUGCCUGAAUAGGGUGAAGCCAGAGGAAACUCUGGUGGAGGCUCGCAGCGGUUCUGACGUGCAAAUCGAUCGUCAAAUUUGGGUAUAGGGGCGAAAGACUAAUCGAACCAUC